rnacentral:siRNA from 1 species
UAUAUGGGCGUUAGGUCGGC